rnacentral:rRNA from 1 species
GACGAACGCUGGCGGCGUGCUUAACACAUGCAAGUCGAACGGAAAGGCCUCUUUCGGGGGGUACUCGAGUGGCGAACGGGUGAGUAACACGUGAGUAACCUGCCCUUGACUUUGGGAUAACUUCAGGAAACUGGGGCUAAUACCGGAUAGGAGCUCCUGCUGCAUGGUGGGGGUUGGAAAGUUUCGGCGGUUGGGGAUGGACUCGCGGCUUAUCAGCUUGUUGGUGGGGUAGUGGCUUACCAAGGCUUUGACGGGUAGCCGGCCUGGGAGGGUGACCGGCCACAUUGGGACUGGGAUACGGCCCAGACUCCUACGGGAGGCAGAAGUGGGGAAUAUUGAACAAUGGGUGGAAGCCUGAUGCAGCAACGCCGUGUGCGGGAUGACGGCCUUCGGGUUGGAAACCGCUUUCGCUCAUGACGAAGCUUUGUGUGACGGUAGUGGGUAAAGAAGUACCGGCUAACUACGUG